GUUAAACACUACAAGGUUAAAUGACACAAAUUUUAAAAAUCACUCUGACUUGGCUUAGUUUCAGGCAACAAGUGCUGCAAGAGAGAAGCUCUAAUAGGCAGGUCGGGCAUGUUGUAUCUAGCAGGCUGGCGUCUUUACAGCAGCACCCUCAGGAUCCUGGUUGGGUCGUCAGGGAGGUUCAGCUCACCUAGACUGACUAACUGGCUGCUCUGUAUUGGUUGCCCUCUCUCCCUUUGCUUUUCUUGUGUUUAUUUG